rnacentral:lncRNA from 1 species
UUUGUCUUUUGUAUAUUUUUUAUUAUUACUUUAUUACUUUAUUACUUUAUUUUUGUUUUUCAUUUUUCAUUUUCUUUAGUUUUUUAAUUAUUUUACCUCUUGUAUUGAUAGUGUCCCCCUCCCUUUUAUUAUUUUUUUUUAUCUUUUUUAUUUUUAUUGUUUGCUUUAUUUUUUAGUUUAUUGUAUUGUAUUUUUAGUUGAUGAAUAAUUGUUAAUUCAAAAAGAUAAAAUGACUCUUAAAAUUAACCUUUCAAAAAAUACAAAAAGUCAAAGGUGCUUGGCAAAAUCAAGUACAUUUUUCAAAAUUAC